rnacentral:rRNA from 1 species
AUGGAUGCGGCUGGCUUGACGCGGGGCGCGGUGGCCACCAUAGCGGAGAGCAAGGCGUGGCACACGGCGCCGGUGGUGAUGCAGGUAGUGGACACCGUGAGGAUCCCGCCGCUGGCGGUCCGCCACGGCAGAGUUGAGCGCUACUCGCUGGUGCUCUACGACGGCCUGCACACAAUGGAGAUCAAGCUCAUCACCCCCCUAGGGCAUCUCGUCAGGGACGGCCGCGUCCGCCGGGGCUCCGUCGUGCGCCUCCUCCGGUACUGCACCAUCUUCGAGCCCUUGAUUUUCAAGCUGGAAGUUCUGCAAGCCGAGGCUGCGCUGAAUGGAAACCCCAUACCCUACAAGCACGGGCCUCGAUGCAACGCCGGUGAUAACGCAGGGCCAAGUGGUGGAUCCAGCUAA